rnacentral:rRNA from 1 species
UACGGAGGGGGGCUAGCGUUGUUCGGAAUUACUGGGCGUAAAGCGCACGUAGGCGGCUUUGUAAGAUUACGGAGGUGAAAAGCCCUGGGGGCCUUCAACUCCGGAAUUGCCUUUAAGACUGCAUCGCUAGAAUUGUGGAGAGGUAAGUGGAAUUACCGAGUGUAGAGGUGAAAUUCGUAGAUAGUUCGCAAGAACACCAGUCGGCGAAGGCGGCUCA